rnacentral:tRNA from 1 species
GGGCCGUUAGCUCAGUUGGUAGAGCGGCUGAUUCUUAACCAGCGGGUCCGGGGUUCGAAACCCUGACGGCGCA